rnacentral:rRNA from 1 species
AGAGCGAACGCUGGCGGCAGGCCUAACACAUGCAAGUCGAGCGCCCGUAGCAAUACGGGAGCGGCAGACGGGAUAGUAACACGUGGGAACGCGCCCUUCGGUUCGGAAUAACUCAGGGAAACUUGAGCUAAUACCGAAUACGCCCUUACGGGGAAGAUUUAUUGCCGAAGGAACGGCCCGCGUCCGAUUAGCUAGUUGGUGAGGUAAUGGCUCACCAAGGCUACGAUCGGUAGCUGGUCUGAGAGGAUGACCAGCAUCACUGGGACUGAGACACGGCCCAGACUCCUACGGGAGGCAGCAGUGGGGAAUAUGGACAAUGGGCGCAAGCCUGAUCCAGCCAUGCCGCGUGGGGGAGGAAGGCCUUCGGGUUGUAAACCACUGUCGAGGGGGACGAUAUUGACGGUACCCCUGGAGGAAGCCCCGGCUAACUACGUGCCAGCAGCCGC